rnacentral:rRNA from 1 species
AAAUUGAAGAGUUUGAUCAUGGCUCAGAUUGAACGCUGGCGGCAGGCCUAACACAUGCAAGUCGAACGGUAGCACAGAGGAGCUUGCUCCUUGGGUGACGAGUGGCGGACGGGUGAGUAAUGUCUGGGAAACUGCCCGAUGGAGGGGGAUAACUACUGGAAACGGUAGCUAAUACCGCAUAACGUCGCAAGACCAAAGAGGGGGACCUUCGGGCCUCUUGCCAUCGGAUGUGCCCAGAUGGGAUUAGCUAGUAGGUGGGGUAACGGCUCACCUAGGCGACGAUCCCUAGCUGGUCUGAGAGGAUGACCAGCCACACUGGAACUGAGACACGGUCCAGACUCCUACGGGAGGCAGCAGUGGGGAAUAUUGCACAAUGGGCGCAAGCCUGAUGCAGCCAUGCCGCGUGUAUGAAGAAGGCCU